GUGAAUCAUCAAAUUUUUGAACGCAAAUUGCACUCUCUUCGGAGAGUAUGCCUGUUUGAGGGUCAGCCUAAAAAAAAAUUGACAUUGUUGCUGUUUUGCGGGGACAUUCGUCGGAAAUUGGGUCAUCUUAAACCUUUGGGUUUUAAGCGGCUUAAAAUUUUUUUUACGGUUUCAAGAACGUUUUUAAGAUUUACUUCUUACACGUUUAAGGUUAUCGAUCUUUAUUAGA
rnacentral:misc_RNA from 1 species